rnacentral:rRNA from 1 species
AACGAACGCUGGCGGCAUGCCUAACACAUGCAAGUCGAACGAAACCUCCGGGUCUAGUGGCGCACGGUUGCGUAAGGCGUGGGAACCUGCCUUUAGGUUCGGAAUAACUCAGAGAAUUUUGAGCUAAUACCGGACGAUGUCUUCGGCCCAAAGAUUUAUCGCCUUUAGAUGGGCGCGCGUGGGAUUCGCUAGUUGGUGGGGUAAAGGAUUACCAAGGCGACGAUGCAUAGCUGGUUUGAGAGGAUGAUCAGCCACACUGAGACUGAGACACGGCCCAGACUCCUACGGGAGGCAGCAGUGGGGAAUAUUGGACAAUGGGCGAAAGCCUGAUCCAGCAAUGCCGCGUGAGUGAUGAAGGCCUUAGGGUUGUAAAGCUCUUUUACCCGAGAUGAUAAUGACGGUACCGGGAGAAUAAGCUCCGGCUAACUCCGUG